rnacentral:piRNA from 1 species
GUAGAUGUGUUAGACCAAAUGGGGACG